CGAUAUGUUGUGUCCGUCGGUGCCCUGCCAGACGCGAUCGUCGGCCGGGCUCAAAAGGGAAUCCGGUGCGAAUCCGGAACUGCCCCGCAGCGGUAAGCGGAAACGAACGCCUUGAGAUCGCACUGGCUCGCAGCGGCCGGGAAGCGAAGGCAAGUAGGCGGGUCGCCAGACCCGGGUCCGCGAGUCCGAAGACCUGCCGACACGGCAUGGCCGGA
rnacentral:ncRNA from 2 species